AGUGAACGCUGGCGGUAGGCCUAACACAUGCAAGUCGAACGGCAGCACAGUAAGAGCUUGCUCUUACGGGUGGCGAGUGGCGGACGGGUGAGGAAUACAUCGGAAUCUACUUUUUCGUGGGGGAUAACGUAGGGAAACUUACGCUAAUACCGCAUACGACCUACAGGUGAAAGCAGUGGAUCUUCGGACCUUGCGCGAUUGAAUGAGCCGAUGUCGGAUUAGCUAGUUGGCGGGGUAACGGCCCACCAAGGCGACUAUCCGUAGCUGGUCUGAGAGGAUGAUCAGCCACACUGGAACUGAGCCACGGUCCAGACGCCUACGGGAGGCAGCAGUGGGGAAUAUUGGGCAAAGGGCGCAAGCCUGAUCCAGCCAUACCGCGUGGGUGACGAAGGCCUUCGGGUUGUAAAGCCCUUUUGUUGGGAAAGAAAAGCAGCAGGUUAAUACCCCGCUGUUCUGACGGUACCCAAAGAAUAAGCACCGGCUAACUUCGUG
rnacentral:rRNA from 1 species